CCCUUAGAUGUUCUGGGCCGCACGCGCGCUACACUGAUGAAUUCAACGAGCUCCUAACCUAGGCCGAAGGGUCCGGGUAAUCUUUGAAAUUUCAUCGUGAUGGGGAUAGAUUAUUGCAAUUAUUAAUCUUCAACGAGGAAUUCCUAGUAAGCGCGAGUCAUCAGCUCGCGUUGAUUACGUCCCUGCCCUUUGUACACACCGCCCGUCGCACCUACCGAUUGAAUGGUCCGGUGAAAUCUUCGGAUCUGAGAGAUGUCUGAUUAAUUUCGGACGCCUUUUGGAAAAGUUGCUUAAACCUUACCAUUUAGAGGAAGGUGAAGUCGUAACA
rnacentral:rRNA from 1 species